rnacentral:lncRNA from 1 species
CCGUAGACCCGUGAGCAGGUAGGCCGCGCGGCGGGCUGUGGGCGCGAGCUGGACCGGGCCGGGCGCGGUUGGGGAGGUCGUGGUCGCAUGGCCGGGAGCGCUCGGUACAUGGGUCUGGCUAGGGCUCGGAGUGCGGCCUGACUAGCCUUAUGAUCCGCGUGGUGACUCUGCAGGGACGGCCUCGGUAUGCAGAACGACGCCGGCGAGUUUGUGGACCUGUACGUGCCGCGGAAAUGCUCCGCGAGCAACCGCAUCAUUGCUGCCAAGGACCACGCGUCCAUCCAGAUGAAUGUGGCCGAGGUUGACAGGAGUACAGGCCGAUUUAAUGGUCAGUUUAAAACCUACGGCAUCUGCGGGGCCAUUCGCAGGAUGGGCGAGUCAGAUGAUUCUAUUCUCCGAUUGGCUAAGGCUGAUGGAAUUGUCUCAAAGAACUUUUGAGCCAGAAGAAAUCGGGAAUAAUUUGUUAUAAAUAAAAGUGAUAAUAAGUACCUGUGACAGC